CUUGAACCGGAGGACUAGAAAGAGUGACCUCUGAUUUCCAGAAGCUUGGGAACAAAACCAAAAUAGCGACACGGUUUGUGUCCCUGGGCCCCGCCUCGGGGUGAGGUGACAGUGAGCUGCACAGAGGGAGGCGGCCUCUCCUGGGGCAGGAAGGGAAGGAGGAGAGCAGGGCGCCACCCCUCCCUCCACGUGCAGGCUUGUGCGACCCUGCGGCCCCUGCCUCCCUCAGAAUUGCUGUGGAACACCUUCCCCCCACCCCUGCAGAGUCUGGAGAGCAACCCUCAGGGGCGGCCCCCACCCCCGCAGCCCUCCCUCCACAGAGUCUGGAACAAUCCGCAGGCGCGGACCCCUGCAGCCCGCAGUGUCCCACACAGCUGCAAACCUGCCUCCCAGAAACGAAAUCUGCCCGCUCUGACAGCUCGGUUGAAGGUGAUUGAUGACUAUCUGGAGACCACAGUGCGCAUCAUAUAAUAUCUGCUGCGUAAUUGCUUUAAUUUACAGAUGAAAAUACGAGCUCUCCGAUCGCGCUGAACCACAGCCGGCCACGUCCGAGCUGCUUGCGAAGGAAAAUCAUCGGAAAUAAUGAAUAGCCGCUCCAUGCAAAUUAUUCAGACAGUUUAAGCGUCUGUAGCCGGGAGAGAUAUAUAAAGAACACGAGUCAAAUGA